CUGUUGGAGUCAGUGGGAGCAUUUCCAUAGAGCCACUUUGCAUCAGCAGCUCCAUGCUCCAGUGCUCUGGGAGAGUUUAUAGUCCUGAGAGCUGAACACUGGAGGACUGACAGCUGUCCUUCAUCACAACACAAGACACAGAAAUCCUCCUCAUCAGCAACAUGACUCUGAUCUCCGUCCUCAUCUGGACUCUCCUCUGCUGCUGCUUCACAGAGUCCAGAGGUCAGGUCACAGUGACUCAGCCUGGAGCAGUGAGAACCACACUGGGAGGAAGAGUCACCAUCAGCUGUAGAACCAGUCAGAAUGUUUAUUAUAGCACCUACCACUAUUUAGCCUGGUACCAACAGAAAAAUGGAGAAUCUCCUAAACUGCUCAUUUACCUUGCUAUUCGUCGACAGUCAGGGAUUCCAGAUCGUUUUUCAGGCAGUGGAUCAAACUCUGACUUCACUCUGACCAUCAGUGGAGUCCAGGCUGAAGAUGCAGCAGAUUAUUACUGUCAGAGUUAUCAUUCCAUCAACAGCAAAGAUGUGUUCACACAGUGA